rnacentral:rRNA from 1 species
UACGAAGGGUGCAAGCGUUACUCGGAAUCACUGGGCGUAAAGCGCACGUAGGCGGCUUCUUAAGUCAGGGGUGAAAGCCUGGAGCUCAACUCCAGAACUGCCUUUGAUACUGAGGAGCUUGAGUCCGGGAGAGGUGAGUGGAACUGCGAGUGUAGAGGUGAAAUUCGUAGAUAUUCGCAAGAACACCAGUGGCGAAGGCGGCUCACUGGCCCGGUACUGACGCUGAGGUGCGAAAGCGUGGGGAGCAAACAGG